rnacentral:tRNA from 1 species
GGGGUGGUUGUCUAGCUUGGUAUGAUACUUGGCUGGGGGCCAAGUGGUCGUGGAUUCGAAUUCCACUCACCCCA